rnacentral:rRNA from 1 species
UACGAAGGGGGCUAGCGGUGUUCGGAUUUACUGGGCGUAAAGGGCGCGUAGGCGGAUUUUUAAGUCGGGGGUGAAAUCCCGGAGCUCAACUCCGGAACUGCCUUCGAUACUGAAAGUCUGGGGCACGGUAGAGGUGAGUGGAAUUCCGAGUGUGGAGGUGAAAUUCGUAGAUAUUCGGAGGAACACCAGUGGCGAAGGCGGCUCACUGGACCGUUGCUGACGCUGAGGCGCGAAAGCGUGGGGAGCAAACAGG